rnacentral:rRNA from 1 species
UACGUAGGGGGCAAGCGUUGUCCGGAUUUAUUGGGCGUAAAGAGCGUGUAGGCGGCUUUACAGGUCCGUUGUGAAAACUCGAGGCUCAACCUCGAGACGCCGGUGGAAACCGUAAAGCUAGAGUCCGGAAGAGGAGAGUGGAAUUCCUGGUGUAGCGGUGAAAUGCGCAGAUAUCAGGAGGAACACCUAUGGCGAAGGCAGCUCGCUGGGACGUUACUGACGCUGAGACGCGAAAGCGUGGGGAGCAAACAGG